UGGGCAACCUGCCCCUAGCUCUGGGAUAACUGCGGGAAACUGUAGCUAAUACCGGAUGUGACACGAGACUGCAUGGUCUUCGUGUGGAAAGAUUUAUCGGCUAGGGAUGGGCCCGCGGUCUAUCAGCUUGUUGGUGGGGUAAUGGCUCACCAAGGCGACGACGGAUAACCGGCCUGAGAGGGCGACCGGUCACACGUGGACUGAGACACGGCCCAGACCUCCGUACGGGAGGNA
rnacentral:rRNA from 1 species